rnacentral:tRNA from 1 species
GUUAUCAUAGUGUAGUGGUUAUCACGUCUGCUUUACACGCAGAAGGUCCCAGGUUCGAGCCCUGGUGGGAGCA